rnacentral:rRNA from 1 species
CGCACAGGUGGUUUCUUAAGUCUGAUGUGAAAGCCCACGGCUCAACCGUGGAGGGUCAUUGGAAACUGGGAGACUUGAGUGCAGAAGAGGAUAGUGGAAUUCCAAGUGUAGCGGUGAAAUGCGUAGAUAUCAGGAGGAAUACCGGAGGCGAAGGCGGCCUGCUGGACAAAUACUGACGCUGAGGCGCGAAAGCGUGGGAGCAAACA